rnacentral:rRNA from 1 species
AUGUUGAGGGCCGCGGAGCUCGCCGGCCUGCGCGUCACGAGGAUGAUCGACGAGCCGACCGCGGCCGCCGUCGCCCACGGCCUCCACAGUAAGCUGCGCGACGAGGGCAACGUCCUCGUCCUCCACAUCGGCGGCGGGACGUCAGACGCGAGCGUCAUGCCGUACGUGGACGGCGUCUUCGAGUUCAUGGGAGCAGACGAGGACCCUUUCCUCGGAGGACAGGAAUUGGACCAGAGGAUCGUCGACCACUUUGUCAAGCUGAUCAGGAAGAAGCACGGCAAGGACCUCAUGAGCAACGACGACAAGGGCGCCGCGCUGGGCAGGCUGAGGACGGCGUGCGAGCAGGCCAAGAAGGCGUUGAGCAGCCAAGACCUUGCCGAAUUUAGCAUCAAGUCGCUUGUGGAUGGCGUCGAUUUCUCGGGCUCGCUGACCCGGGCAGAGUUUGAGGAGCUGAACCAUGACCUGUUCCUUAAAGCCAUGGCGUUGGUGGAAAGUGCCAUGAGACAGGCUGGGCUAGACGAGAACAAGGAGCUGCUUGACGAGAUUGUGCUGGUUGGUGGAAGCACCAUGAUCCCGGCGAUUCGGAGACUCGUCGCCGAUUAUUUUGAUGGGAGGAGGAAGCUGAAAAAUGUCAAUGUGCCGGUGAUGCCGGAUCAAACUGUCACUCUUGGGGCGGCUCUUCUAAGCCAUCCUAGGGCAAACGGGUACCCAUGCAUGGGAGGGGAUAGGCGUCAGUGGGGAUACUCCACAGACUGGUGUUUUACCGACUGA